rnacentral:tRNA from 1 species
GUGUACGUGGUGGAAUUGGUAGACACGCCAGCAUGAGGUGCUGGUUCUUUUAGAGUGAGAGUUCGAGUCUCUCCGUACGCACCA